rnacentral:lncRNA from 1 species
UUGAUUCAACUCGAAAACGACCUAUACUUUUGGAUGCCCUAAGUUUUGGGUUAGAUGUUUUUUUUUUAUUGUGUGGUCCAUUUAUUUGUAAUUAAGUGGUAGCCCAUCUGUAGAGAAGACUGUGGCCCAAUCUAUAUGAGUGACCUAAUGUCUUGCUAUAUAUAUGUUUUGUUCCUAGCCGUGUCUUCGUGUGUGUGUAGUAUGCAAGAGAGAAAACAAGAAAAGAAAAGAGAAAAGCAGUCGACUUUCUUCGGAGUUAGAGAGCUUGGAGUGUUUUUUGGUGUCUUCCUUUAUCUUUCUCCUUCCUUUGCCGAGUGCAUACACCACCACCAUAGUCUCCUUUGUGGAGUGAAACUUGUAGUGACCAAGUGUGGAAGUUUUAGGUCGAAUCGAGAUAAACUGGUGUUCGUUUGAUUGUUUUCUCCUCCAAAAUCAAGAUUUCUUGAGAGAUUUCCAUGACAAUUGUGAUGUAAAGGAAGAGUUUCCCAAGCGGUCAAACUUCAUGGAAGUGGUGCCUCUACUUUAUUCCAGUUUUUACCAAAAAAGGAAAAGGCCCAAAUUUGCAUAAGAAAUUAUGUCUUCAAACUGGGCAAUUCAGCUCCUAUUUUUCUAAGUGAGAUAAUUGAAAUGAGAAUUCACGCAGCAAUUCUCUUAUUAUCUGUUUUAAUCCUUAAAGUUGUUGUCCAUAUCACAAGAGAUUAUGCAUAAUUUCUCUGACAUGUUAGCUCGAACAACUUUCUUACUUGAGUUUUAUUGCCUAUGUCUGUGAACUUAUCAUCUGAACAAAAUUUAGUGCAUAUUUCAGGGUCAUUCGCAGGUUUUGGAUUUUUGUCAUUGUACUUAUCUUGUAAAAUUAAAGCGUUUGAUCAGAGGGGUCA